UCAGGCUAAAGUCCGGCGAGCGACGCGCGGCGGGGCGGCGGGAGGAAACGCGGCGCCGGGCCGGGCCCUGGAGAUGGUCCCCGGCGCCGCGGGCUGGUGUUGUCUCGUGCUCUGGCUCCCUGUGUGCGUCGCGGCCCACGGCUUCCGUAUCCAUGAUUAUUUGUACUUUCAAGUGCUGAGUCCUGGGGACAUUCGAUACAUCUUCACAGCCACACCUGCCAAGGACUUUGGUGGUAUCUUUCACACAAGGUAUGAGCAGAUUCACCUUGUCCCUGCUGAACCUCCAGAGGCCUGCGGGGAACUCAGCAACGGUUUCUUCAUCCAGGACCAGAUUGCUCUGGUGGAGAGGGGCUACAUGAUCCGCCGCUCUCUGGAACAGCAUGGGCUGCCAUGGGCCAUAAUUUCCAUCCCAGUCAAUGUCACCAGCAUCCCCACCUUUGAGCUGCUGCAACCGCCCUGGACCUUCUGGUAGAAGAGUUUGUCCCACAUUCCAGCCAUAAGUGACUCUGAGCUGGGAAGGGGAAACCCAGGAAUUUUGCUACUUGGAAUUUGGGGAUAGCAUCUGGGGACAAGUGGAGCCAGGUAGAGGAAAAGG
rnacentral:sRNA from 1 species